rnacentral:rRNA from 1 species
UGGGCAACCUGCCCCUAGCUCUGGGAUAACUGCGGGAAACUGUAGCUAAUACCGGAUGUGACACGAGACUGCAUGGUCUUCGUGUGGAAAGAUUUAUCGGCUAGGGAUGGGCCCGCGGUCUAUCAGCUUGUUGGUGGGGUAAUGGCUCACCAAGGCGACGACGGAUAACCGGCCUGAGAGGGCGACCGGUCACACGUGGGACUGAGACACGGCCCAGACCUCCGUACGGGAGGNA